UAGCCAAACCUUUAGUAUCUAAAACUAAAGGUUUAUUAUAAAAAACAAAGAAAGAACAAAAAGAGAGCUGUUAAAUAGUAAAGCAAUCAGAUACAUACAGAGACUUCAAAGUUCAUAUAUCAGAUUCUUAGCAGUGUUGGUGAGUUUGCUGGUUUGAAAGUUCCUCUGGAACACAUCCACAGCUUGGAUGGGUCUUCAGUCCUUUGUUCAGAGUUUCAGUUUGUAGAAAAGGUGCAACUGCCU